rnacentral:rRNA from 1 species
UAAACGACUCUCGGCAACGGAUAUCUCGGCUCUCGCAUCGAUGAAGAACGUAGCGAAAUGCGAUACUUGGUGUGAAUUGCAGAAUCCCGUGAACCAUCGAGUCUUUGAACGCAAGUUGCGCCCGAAGCCGUUAGGCUGAGGGCACGUCUGCCUGGGCGUCAC